rnacentral:rRNA from 1 species
UCGUGGAGUGAUUCGUCUUGUUAAUUCAGAUAACGAGCGAGACCUUAACUUGCUAAUUAGGUGGAGGUGAGGUUUUCCUCACAUAUAUCGAUAGAUUUCCGUAAGGGAGUCAUAGAUUCUCCACAAAUCUGAUCCUUCGGGAGAGGAUAACAUCUUAGAGGUACAGCACCCUCAAAAUAGGGUGAGGAAGUGUAAGGCAAUAACA